UAGGGAAUCUUCGGCAAUGGACGAAAGUCUGACCGAGCAACGCCGCGUGAGUGAAGAAGGUGUUCGGAUCGUAAAACUCUGUUGUUAGAGAAGAACAAGGACGUUAGUAACUGAACGUCCCCUGACGGUAUCUAACCAGAAAGCCACGGCUAACUACGUGCCAGCAGCCGCGGUAAUACGUAGGUGGCAAGCGUUGUCCGGAUUUAUUGGGCGUAAAGCGAGCGCAGGCGGUUUCUUAAGUCUGAUGUGAAAGCCCCCGGCUCAACCGGGGAGGUUCAUUUGCAACUGGGAGACUUGCGUGCAGAAGAGGAGAGUGGAAUUCCAUGUUUAGCGGUGACAUGCGUAGAUAUAUGGAGGAACACCAGUGGCGAAGGCGGCUCUCUGGUCUGUAACUGACGCUGAGGCUCGAAAGCGUGGGGAGCAAACAGG
rnacentral:rRNA from 1 species